CCGAGAAUAGCUCAGUUGGCAGAGCGGGAGACUGUAGGGUUAGGGGUUGAUGGACUCCAACUGUUAUCUCUAGGUCCCUGGUUCAAAUCCGGGUUCUCGGA
rnacentral:tRNA from 1 species